rnacentral:lncRNA from 1 species
CGCGGAGUAGUCGUCGUCGUUCUCCUCAACCUCGCUUGCGAAGGUACCGUUAUUAGCGGUCCGUUGGUUGUGUGUAUUAUUUCCUCCCGGUGUAGCGAUGCUCGUUGCAGCAAGUGCCGCCAGUUGCGUCGUAUUUCUGCCAGAGAAGUACUAAUGGUAGCAACAGAAUUCUGUAAAGAUGUUAGCUUGGUAUUUGUUUCAAUGUGCGCGCUCUCCAAGGUUCCAAGUCUCUCAUUCGCAACCCGAACGUCCUCAUCCAGUUCCUCGUUACGGAGCCUAAGCUUGCGAUCAAAAUGUGAAAUAAUGCCCUUUGUGCGUGGAGAGUGACCUUGUAGAUCAUCGUCAGAACCUGCCAUCGUUAGGAGAAAACAAGAAACAAAUCACAAGGAAAAGUCCCUAUGCACUACUAGGAUGUGGGGUUCCAAAGAUCACUCCACUCAACUUUUAAUCAAGUUCUUACUCGUUCUUACCCAGCAAAUAGGAAGGUGAUGGCCAGCGGCGAGAACAAGCCCUCCGAAGAUUAAUGUAUCAAUGCCUCGAGGCAAACCAACCUAGGUGUAGAAUAUGUGGAGCUUGGAGGCUUAUAUGAGUACUAAGGAAAAGCGAAUAAUCAAAUCAGCAAUGCAAAGUUGAAAAUAUGCUCAAAAAUGCUAGUCCUAGCUGCUUGAGUCAAUAAGAACGAAUUACAGAAAUAAUCUAAGCCUAGAUACUGAAGAAGGGAGGAAUAGAUAGAUCAAAAGAUGGCACAACAAGUAAAUCCCUAGGAUUUUAUUUUCUUUUUUCUUUUCUUUUUGUGGCCUUCUGUUUGGCUUCUUAUUCUUUUCUUCUUCUUUUUUUCUUUUUUUUUAACCCCAGAAACUCACGCAAAAGAAGGACCGGAAAACUGUACGUCGGUCUGUCGAAGAACAGCAAAGGCUGCAGUAAGAAAAAUAUGGAAAAAUAUGGAAAAAACAUGGGUUAGAAGCGUAUCGACACAAACUUUCCAGCAAGGGCAAGAUCACUCAAAACGGAUGUUGGACGGUCGAGAAAACUGAAAAACACCGGGCUGCAGUGACACCGAAAAACGGAUGCAGAAACUUGGAAACUCCGAAAGUCCACCUUACAAACCGAAUUUGAGGGUCAAAGUGCAGGGCAGCCCUGGAUAUUUCCUGAUGCGCCCCGUCGUGAGCUUUCCAAAAAGUGCAAGAACGUCCAAAUCCGAGUUGGUACGCAAAAGAUAAGUCCGUUUUACUGAACACGAGUCAAACCCACCCGAAACUAAAAUUCUACUCGGACUCGGGUCCGAAACUGACUCGAACUCUUUCUCUUCUUUUUUUUUGUUUUUUUUCUUUCUUUCUUUCCUUUUUUUUUCUUUCCCUUCUUUUUUUUUCACAACUUUGCGAACAACUUGAUCUCUAAACAAAAUUCGAUCUAUUAUGAAACACUUUCCAAAAGCACUCUUGAUUGGACUCGGACUCGAACUCGCGGCUGAAAACUAUAACUUGCCGACUCGAUGUAGGACUCGAAGAGGGAGUCGAUGUAGGACUCGACGAGGGACUGGGUGUAGGACUCGAAGAGGGACUCAGUGGAAGAUAUGGUGGCGGCGGAAGAUUAUGGCGGUGGUGUGGCAGGAAGUUUGGCGGCGGAAGAUUGAUGGAAAGCCUGCGUCACACGAAAUCAAAAGACAAAAACAAGUUCGAUCUAGUAGAAAAAAUCUGAAAAACGAUCCAAUCUAAUCCAGCAACUCGACACGAUUAAUGCAGUAAAGAUUCAACAAUGCAAAACUAAUGUGAAAAUUGCAAGGCUCAGAUUGGUUCUAGGACAAGGUAACUAAUAUAAAAAACAAAUUUGGCUUUUUCUUGACGAUAGGUAAAAAAGAGUUCUAAGCUAGGGAUAAAUUGAAAGAUCUCACCGAGCAACCUUAAGCUCUGAUACCACGUGAUAGCCUCGAGGGUGUCCCGAUCUUUCGAUGAGAUACCUAAUUAUCGAUUUGGUAGGAGGUGACGUUGACGAUCCAACUACAACCUAGGAGGCAGCGCCUUAGCGAUCGAUACACCAACUCCAGAAGGUUAUUGAUCCCGCGGGGGCACGAUCAACCUGACCACGAAGGUCUUUGUUCCUGCAAGCAAUCGAAGAACAAGCAAGAACAAGAUGAAAAGCAAUCUGAAAUUGCGAAUAGGAGAUA